rnacentral:rRNA from 1 species
UACGUAGGGGCCGAGCGUUGUCCGGAGUUAUUGGGCGUAAAGCGCGCGCAGGCGGCUUCGCGCGCCCGACGUGAAAGCCCCCGGCUUAACCGGGGAGAGUCGUUGGGGACGGCGGAGCUUGAGGGCGGGAGAGGUCGGUGGAAUUCCCGGUGUAGUGGUGAAAUGACGCAGAUAUCAGGAGGAACACCGGUGGCGAAGGCGGGUCUCUGGGCCGAUACUGACGCUGAGGAGCGAAAGCGUGGGGAGCGAACAGG